CCUACGGGAGGCAGCAGUGAGGAAUAUUGGUCAAUGGACGAGAGUCUGAAGCAGCCAAGUAGCGUGAAGGAUGACUGCCCUAUGGGUUGUAACCUUCUUUUAUAUGGGAAUAAAAUGUUCCACGUGUGGGAUUUUGUAUGUACCAUAUCAAUACGGCUCGGCUAACUCCGUGCCAGCAGCCGCGGUAAUACGGAGGAUCCGAGCGUUAGCCGGAUUUAUUGGGUGUAAAGGGAGCGUAGGUGGAUUGUUAAGUCAGUUGUGAAAGUUUGCGGCUCAACCGUAAAAUUGCAGUUGAAACUGGCAGUCUUGAGUACAGGAGAGGUGGGCGGAAUUCGUGGUGUAGCGGUGAAAUGCUUAGAUAUCACGAAGAACUCUGAUUGCGAAGGCAGCUCACUAGACUGCAACUGACACUGAGGCGCGAAAGUGUGGGUAUCAAACAGGAUUAGAUACCCUGGUAGUC
rnacentral:rRNA from 1 species